AUCCCCGAGUGGGCAUGAAAUACAGUCUAGUUUCCAGGAAGACAAGACGUAUCACCGAGACAACCCCAAAAGAGGGUGUGUGCAACAGAAAAGAAGCGCGUCCUUUGUUGUGUGACUCGUCAU
ensembl:ncRNA C55B6.6 ncRNA